rnacentral:tRNA from 1 species
CUAUAUUUAAGUGGAACCAUACAAAUUUUUGAAAUUUGUGAAUUUAAUUUUAAUUAUGAAAUAUA